GACAGAGGCCCCGAGCGUUAGGCGGAAUCACUGGGCUUAAAGCGUGUGUAGGCGGACGCCUAAGUGUCUUGUGAAAUCCCACGGCUCACCCGUGGAACCGCUGGGCAUACUGGGCGUCUUGGGCCGUCCAGGGGCGACUGGAACAAGCGGUGGAGCGGUGAAAUGCGUAGAUAUCGCUUGGAACGCCGAAGGUGAAAACAGGUCGCUGGGGACGCGCCGACGCUGAGACACGAAAGCCAGGGGAGCAAACGGG
rnacentral:rRNA from 1 species